AGAUCGAUUGGCAAAGCGGCAGGUGGCCUGGUGUUGGGUUUGUCGGUGGCGGCGGCCGCGCAUGCGGCACCGUUGUUCGAGCCGGUGACGGUCAUC
rnacentral:tRNA from 1 species